UACGUAGGGGGCAAGCGUUGUCCGGAAUCAUUGGGCGUAAAGAGCGCGUAGGCGGCCCGAUAAGUCCGCUGUGAAAGUCAAGGGCUCAACCCUUGAAUGCCGGUGGAUACUGUCGGGCUAGAGUCCGGAAGCGGCGAGUGGAAUUCCUGGUGUAGCGGUGAAAUGCGCAGAUAUCAGGAGGAACACCAAUGGCGAAGGCAGCUCGCUGGGCAGGUACUGACGCUGAGGCGCGAAAGCGUGGGGAGCAAACAGG
rnacentral:rRNA from 1 species